AUUGAACGCUGGCGGCAUGCCUUACACAUGCAAGUCGAACGGCAGCACGGGUGCUUGCACCUGGUGGCGAGUGGCGAACGGGUGAGUAAUACAUCGGAACAUGUCCUGUAGUGGGGGAUAGCCCGGCGAAAGCCGGAUUAAUACCGCAUACGAUCUACGGAUGAAAGCGGGGGACCUUCGGGCCUCGCGCUAUAGGGUUGGCCGAUGGCUGAUUAGCUAGUUGGUGGGGUAAAGGCCUACCAAGGCGACGAUCAGUAGCUGGUCUGAGAGGACGACCAGCCACACUGGGACUGAGACACGGCCCAGACUCCUACGGAAGGCAGCAGUGGGGAAUGUUGGACAAUGGGCGAAAGCCUGAUCCAGCAAUGCCGCGUGUGUGAAGAAGGCCUUCGGGUUGUAAAGCACUUUUGUCCGGAAAGAAAUCCUUGGCCCUAAUACGGUCGGGGGAUGACGGUACCGGAAGAAUAAGCACCGGCUAACUACGUG
rnacentral:rRNA from 1 species